rnacentral:lncRNA from 1 species
GACGGGCUGCGGGUCUCUAGUGAGAGGCUUUCCCACCCCCAACCCCAGUGUCUGUGCUGCAAACAGGAACUUGGCUGUCAGAGGUCAGUUGACCCCUGGGAACAAGCAGUGCCCGGCUAUGUGCUGACCUUGACCAGGAAGUGGGCGUGUCCAGCAUGUGGGGCUUUGGGAGAAGGCCACCCCCCGGCUCCAGUCCUGCCCUUGGGCCGGAAUCAGUGCCCCUUCAGUGGCUUGACCUGCUCUGCUGGGAAGGCAGCACCCAGGGUUCCACGCCUGAGGGGCCCCGGUGACCCCUGACCAGGCCUGGGCUGUCCUCCCUGGUGGGAGAGGCCCUGGGCUUCAGGCUGGGCCACACGGAGUGGGGUUUUGGAUGAAUUGGGCAGGCCCUGAACCUCAGAUCUGGGGGCGCUGCUGGUGGGGGUGGAGGAGGUGGCUAGGGGCUACUUCCCAGACCUGCCCGUGAUGGACAGCCGCACCCCCCACCCCGGGGAAACGUGCUGGAAAAUUUACCUCCUCUAUUCAGGAGUGUUCUCUGUAAAGGUCACAUCCACCCACAAACUUAGAAUCUGGGCAGCAGUUCUGUCUGCUGGUUCAAUGGCUGCCUGCGCAUCCCUGGCACGAAAGGGCAGUGCCCGGGACCAUCUUCCUGGAGCUCGGGCUGGCAGCUCUGUCCCUGUCCUGGCGCAGAUCAAGCUGGAUCCUUUUAUGUAUUUAUUUGUUUGGCUGCCUUGGGUCUUCGUUGCACAAGCAGGAUCUUUUGUUGAGCCGCACGGACUCCAGUUGUGCGGCGCGUGCUCCAGAACUUGCGGGCUCAGUGGUUGAGGCUCAUGGGCUUAGUCGCCUGGAUGCAUGGGGGUCUUAGUUCCCUGACCAGGGAUCAAACCCGUGUCCCCUGCAUCGAAAGGCAGAUUCUUAACCACUGGACCACCAGGGAAGUCCCAGAGAGACUGUUCUCAGGUUAUAAUUUUCACUUUGGCUUGAAUAAAGAUUUUCAUUUCUUUCUUAGAUCAACUGAUGAAGCUUUUCAUCAUAACGAUAAUGUCGGCAACCGCAAACUACUGGAGUCUGCGAAGUGCUGUGCACGUUACCCUGGAGGCCUGGCAGCAGGGUUGGGGGCUGUCAGCUGUUUCACAGGAGUGCAGCAGGGAACCGGCCUUCUCUGCUCCAAUGAGGAGAUGGACACUGCGUCCUGACCAUCACUGCUGCUGGGAGCGAGAGACGGAAGCAAAAGGGGCAGCUGAAACCCACCUGCGCA